UACGUAGGGGGGCAAGCGUUGUCCGGAUUUAUUGGGCGUAAAGAGCGUGUAGGCGGCUUGGUAGGUCCGCUGUGAAAACUCGAGGCUCAACCUCGAGAUGUCGGCGGAAACCACUUGGCUAGAGUCCGGAAGAGGAGAGUGGAAUUCCUGGUGUAGCGGUGAAAUGCGCAGAUAUCAGGAAGAACACCUAUGGCGAAGGCAGCUCUCUGGGCCAUAACUGACGCUGAGGAGCGAAAGCGUGGGGAGCAAACAGG
rnacentral:rRNA from 1 species